UACAAACACCACAACACCUUUAUAUUGAGAGAGCACUCAUUAUAUGCUUACCUUUAUACAGCUCCCUUGCCGUCACAUGUCUUGUACCGAGUGAGCCAUCACAAAUAUAUGUACACACCAAAUGCCUGUCCACUUAAAUCUAGCUCUUUAUUCACACACUGCAUUCGCACCAUAUAUACAAUCCAUUAAUGAACAUAUUGACAUUCCAUGUAACCACCAAAACUAAAUUUAAAUAAAUCAUGAGCUUAUGGUGACGAGUAACUUUUAAAGUCGGGCUAGUAAUUCAGUAUGUGAAAUUUUGAGCUCUAGUUAAUGGGUUACCCAUAUGUUAGUACUCGCUAGAACAGUUAUCAAAGCUUAACAAAGUGACACGUUAGAUUUCAUACAAUUCUGGCUUUCUUGUAACAAAAAGUAGCAUUUUUUCUAGACAAAUGUCAAGGUGAAGUUCUUGCACAGAACCUUCAUUAGCUCUAUCUAGCUGGUGUGCCAAGCCCUAAAAAGCCAGGCUAGCUCAAUUUCAGCUCUCCUGUAGGUGGUGACUGGUGCUCUUUUGGAACCCAAGCAUAUUGUGGGUGUCGGGACUCUACUGGCAGCAUUACCACUACAACAUAUUGUAGUGGUUAGUGCUUGGAGUAAUUACUUUUAAGAAAAACCUACAAAGAAAAACUUCUAAAGUUUCAGACCGCAAUAAAUUUGGGAUAAUGUUUAAAUCGAAACAUAUUUUUAAUUUUGGCUCAUCCUACAGUCCCCACCUUUUCCCAUUACAUAAAUUUCUGCCAACAUUUCCAGCAGACUUCAAUACUGCGUAUGGUAAAAAUGAAGCUUUCUGUUAGAUACAGAUGAGAAAUGUAAAUGUAUCCAAUUGCUGCUUGUUUUUUUUCCCAACAGCUUGGUGUACACACCUUGGAAAAAUUUUAUUAUGACAUUCAGACUUUUUUUUUUUUUUUUCUUCGUCAUUUGUUAAAUAGUCUUAAUUCUUUUUGAAACUUCAGACCAGAUGGAGAAUCAGACUGAUCGCAACAUAUCCUGCUUUCUGGUUAGUAUAUAGUUAAGCAUCCCUGCUUGUGCACUCCAAGGCAGGGUGGCAAGCUGUUUCUCCUCCAAAACCACAAGCAGGAGUUUUAUGUGCCUGCCAGUAAAUAACCUUUGAAAACCUAGAAACGCAUACGGAAUGUUUCUGUUUCUUCCACGUUUAUAAUAAAGGAUAUUUCAGGCUAAA